rnacentral:snRNA from 1 species
GCGUCAGCACAUAUGCUAAAACUGGAACGAUACAGAGGUUAGCACGGCCCCUGCACAAGGAUGAUACGAAAAUUCGUGAAGCAUUCCAUAUUAAA